GACGAACGCUGGCGGCGUGCUUAACACAUGCAAGUCGAACGGAAAGGCCCUGCUUUUGUGGGGUGCUCGAGUGGCGAACGGGUGAGUAACACGUGAGUAACCUGCCCUUUACUUUGGGAUAACUUCAGUAAACUGGGGCUAAUACCGGAUAUGAGCUCCUGCUGCAUGGUGGGGGUUGGAAAGUUUCGGCGGUUGGGGAUGGACUCGAGGCUUAUCAGCUUGUUGGUGGGGUAGUGGCUUACCAAGGCUUUGACGGGUAGCCGGACUGAGAGGGUGACCGGCCACAUUGGGACUGAGAUACGGGCAAGACUCAUACGGGAGGAAGCAGUGGGGAAUAUUGCAAAAUGGGCGGAAGCAUGAUGCAGCAACGCCGCGUGCGGGAUGACGGCCUGCGGGUUGUAAACCGCGUUAGCCUGUGAAGAAGAGUGAGUGACGGUAAUGGGUAAAGAAGCAACGGCUAACUACGUG
rnacentral:rRNA from 1 species